UCCCAGGUGGCUCAGACGGUAAAGAAUCUGCUUGCAAUGCAGGAGACCCGGGUUUGAUCCCUGGGUUGGGAA
rnacentral:tRNA from 1 species